AUGCAGAGCCCGCGGGGCCAGAGGGCCCGAGAGUGGCCAGGUGGGCGGAACAGCAGUGCCCACGUGGCCCUGGUCCCUUGCGGCGGAUGGCUGCUGCCCCGGGCGGGGGCCGCAGCAUCUGGGGGGGAAGACGUCCCCGCCGCUGUCUCAGGACCGCAUGGGCUUCCGUUCACUCGAAGUGCCUGUCACGUUUCUGAACCACUGCUCGACAGGUCCCAGAUCUGGGGCCAUCAGCUCAGCCCUGGAAAUGGCUUCUUUCUCGGUGCUUCUCUCUGUGCUGUCUGCCCUCAGACCCACUCGUCCCCAAGUGUCCCUCAGGAGGCCCUCCUUCAGAAUGUGCUCCCCUGGUUUAUUUACUUAUUUAUUUUUUGGUCACGCCCGUGGCACGCAGAAGUCCCCAGGCCAGGGAUCGAACCCACGCCACAGCAGGGACAAGGCCAAGUCCUUAACCGCUAGGCCACCAGGGAACUCCCUCUGCUGGUUUUCAGACCGCGGGGCCUGCCUUCUCCGCCCAGCUUUUCGGGUAAAAGCAAACAUCUUGUAAGACCUGGGUUCCAGAAAACCCCACUUCAGAGGUACCCCCUGCACGCUCCAGUUGGGUGCCAACCCCUGGGGGCAGCACCCACUGACCUCGGGGGAGGGACAGGUCGGGUCCCCAACUGGCAGGCGCAGGGCCAGGGAGGGCCUCAGACGUGGGGGCGGGGACCUCGGCAAGUCGCUUAAGCACUGCGGCCCUACCUCUGCCCUCAAAGGAGGUAACUCAGUCCAGAAGGGUCAGGACACAAUGACGGCGGGGAAAAAGGCGGGGACCAAGUCGCUUAAGCACUGCGGCCCCACCUCUGCCCUCAAAGGAGGUAACUCAGUCCAGAAGGGGCAGGACCCAACGACGGCAGGGGUGUAGCAGGACCAAGGGAGGGGCCACAGGGCAGGGCAAGCCAGCCGGGGAGCCAGGGCCCCCAGGGAGUUCCCGUAAAGGGACUAAGGGGACGGCCCCAUCCCUCUCUCUUCCUGAAACGGCCCCACCUCUGCACAGGAUGCAGGGGCGAGCCCUCACCGCCACCCUUCCCGCAGGCCCCCCACCCUGAUGGAGACGCCGGGGUGCAGGCUCGGGUGCGUGUCCCCACACGUCUAAAUGCACGGCCUGAGCACUGUGAGGGCAGGAACACGGGCUCCGUCCCUCCUCAGGAGACUCCCUGGGAAACCACGGGCUCCAGGUCCCUGCUGAGCACCUGCUGGGCCCCAGCUUCUAACGACAACCGCAACUGAAGAGCAGAGGCUUUGAACGCUCCAGGUGCAGUGAGAAAAGAACGCAAAUGUACUAGAAGUCCUUUCUAGAAAGAGCUGGGCCGUUGCAAGGGUCCCGCCCGCUCCAGGCCCCCUUCCCCACCUCGCCUGGGGCAGGGGGUCUGGGCCCCGCCCCCGCUGAGGACCGCUGAGCUCACGGGCGCCCCCAAGGGAAGGGAGGCGCCUGGCCAGCAGCUCUGCCUUUUGGAAAGGCUCUUCCGGCAGGCGUGGGCU
rnacentral:lncRNA from 1 species